GACGAACCGUGCGAACGUUGUUCGGAAUCACUGGGCUUAAAGGGCGCGUAGGCGGGUCGGAAAGUCCGCGGUGAAAUCCCCCCGCUCAACGGGGGAACGGCCGCGGAUACUGUCGGCCUCGAGGGGGGUAGGGGCGAGCGGAACGCUGGGUGGAGCGGUGAAAUGCGUAGAUAUCAUUUGGAACGCCAAUGGUGAAAACAGGUAGCUGGGGAUGUGCUGACGCUGAGACACGAAAGCCAGGGGAGCAAACGGG
rnacentral:rRNA from 1 species